AUACGUAGGGGGCGAGCGUUGUCCGGAAUUAUUGGGCGUAAAGGGUUCGUAGGCGGUUAAAUAAGUCAGGUGUGAAAGCCAUAGGCUCAACCUAUGUAAGCACUUGAAACUGUAUAACUUGAGUUAAGGAGAGGAAAGUGGAAUUCCUAGUGUAGCGGUGAAAUGCGUAGAUAUUAGGAGGAAUACCAGUGGCGAAGGCGACUUUCUGGACUUAUACUGACGCUGAGGAACGAAAGCGUGGGGAGC
rnacentral:rRNA from 1 species